UGAGGGAGGAAGGCUCUUGGGUUGUAAACCUCUUUUAUCAGGGAAGAAGAUCUGACGGUACCUGAUGAAUCAGCAUCGGCUAACUCCGUGCCAGCAGCCGCGGUAAUACGGAGGAUGCAAGCGUUAUCCGGAUUUAUUGGGCGUAAAGCGUCCGCAGGUGGUUGUUCAAGUCUGCUGUUAAAGCGCGAGGCUUAACCUCGUACAGGCAGUGGAAACUGAGCGACUAGAGUAUGGUAGGGGUAGCGGGAAUUCCCAGUGUAGCGGUGAAAUGCGUAGAUAUUGGGAAGAACACCAGCGGCGAAAGCGCGCUACUGGGCCAUAACUGACACUCAUGGACGAAAGCUAGGGGAGCGAAAGGGAUUAGAUACCCCUGUAGUCCUAGCUGUAAACGAUGGGUACUAGGUGUUGACCGUAUCGACCCGGUCAGUGCCGUAGCUAACGCGUUAAGUACCCCGCCUGGGGAGUAUGCACGCAAGUGUGAAACUCAAAGGAAUUGACGGGGGCCCGCACAAGCGGUGGAGUAUGUGGUUUAAUUCGAUGCAACGCGAAGAACCUUACCAGGGCUUGACAUGUCGCGAAUCUCGGUGAAAGUCGAGGGUGCCUUCGGGAGCGCGAACACAGGUGGUGCAUGGCUGUCGUCAGCUCGUGUCGUGAGAUGUUGGGUUAAGUCCCGCAACGAGCGCAACCCUCGUUUUUAGUUGCCAGCAUUCAGUUGGGCACUCUAGAGAGACUGCCGGUGACAAACCGGAGGAAGGUGGGGAUGACGUCAAGUCAGCAUGCCCCUUACGUCCUGGGCUACACACGUACUACAAUGCUUCGGACAAAGGGUUGCGAGCUAGCGAUAGCAAGCUAAUCCCGUAAACCGAGGCUCAGUUCAGAUUGCAGGCUGCAACUCGCCUGCAUGAAGGAGGAAUCGCUAGUAAUCCCAGGUCAGCAUACUGGGGUGAAUACGUUCCCGGGCCUUGUACACACCGCCCGUCACACCAUGGGAGUUGGCCACGCCCGAAGUCGUUACUCCAACCGCUUGCGGAGGAGGAUGCCGAAGGCAGGGCUGAUGACUGGGGUGAAGUCGUAACAAGGUAGCCGUACCGGAAGGUGUGGCUGGAUCACCUCCUUUUAGGGAGACCUACCCGCAUUGCUGCUUGAACACAUUCUGUUAUUAGAGCCAAUGUUGGUCAUCCCAAGGUCGUUCAAGGAUUAAGUGUUGGCUUUCAAACUAGCUAGGUUUGGUUUAUGGGCUAUUAGCUCAGGUGGUUAGAGCGCACCCCUGAUAAGGGUGAGGUCCCUGGUUCGAGUCCAGGAUGGCCCACCUUAAGAAGCUGUUAGUCAUUAGUUAAUUGUUGUUAGCGUCAAGCUAGGAGCCAAAAGCUAAGCACUAAAAGCUUUAUCUGGGGGUUUAGCUCAGUUGGUAGAGCGCCUGCUUUGCAAGCAGGAUGUCAGCGGUUCGAGUCCGCUAACCUCCACUGAGUUGAUGGUUAUUGUUUGAACCAAUUAACGGGGAAGCGUUCAGCAACUCGUCUAGUUGAUCUAGAGAGCCUGCUGGAUUUGUUUCCAGCCAGAACCUUGAAAACUGCAUAGUUACUUGUCAGGUAGAAAGAGCAAUGAGUGCUUAAGCUUCAAUUUUUGGUCUUCAAAAGCCAAGUUUGAGGGUUUGAGCAUAAAUUGCAAAGUCACAGACACCAAUGAAUUGUAAGUGUCAGCACAAGUUUUGGGAAACAUAAAUGUU
rnacentral:misc_RNA from 1 species